AACGAACGCUGGCGGCACGCCUAACACAUGCAAGUCGAGCGAUGAAGCUUCUUCGGGAGUGGAUUAGCGGCGGACGGGUGAGUAACGCGUGGGAACGUACCCUGGGGUGCGGAACAACAGUUGGAAACGACUGCUAAUACCGCAUGAUCCUAUCCUUUAGAGAUAUUGGGUAGGCAAAGAUUUAUCGCCCUUGGAUCGGCCCGCGUUGGAUUAGGUAGUUGGUGGGGUAAUGGCCUACCAAGCCUACGAUCUAUAGCUGGUUUGAGAGGAUGAUCAGCCACACUGGGACUGAGACACGGCCCAG
rnacentral:rRNA from 1 species